rnacentral:lncRNA from 1 species
AAUAUCAGAAUUAGAGUGCUUAUAAUUGCUAAAAAUAGAGAAAACAUUAAGUGACAGGUUACAUAGGCUAUGAUAUAACCAAGGAUAGAAUGAGUGAACUGGAAGAUAGAACUGACGAAAUGAUAUGGAAAGAAUGUAGCUAAAAAGAUGGAAAAUAUGAAAAAGGAGUUAAGAGACACAGGUUAUACACAAUGUGAAUUCCAUCAGGGCAGAAUAUUGGUUUUGGUCACUGAGGCAUCCCAAGGGCCUAGAACAAGAUCUAGCACAGUUGUUCCUGAAACCUAGAACACCCCCCCCUCAAAAAAGAGAAUACCAAGGGGAGGGGAGAGGAAAUGUCCA